UACGGGGGGAGCAAGCGUUGUUCGGAUUUACUGGGCGUAAAGGGCGCGUAGGCGGCCACCGCAAGUCGACUGUGAAAUCUCCGGGCUUAACCCGGAAAGGUCAGCCGAUACUGCGGGGCUAGAGUGCAGAAGGGGCAACUGGAAUUCUCGGUGUAGCGGUGAAAUGCGUAGAUAUCGAGAGGAACACCUGCGGCGAAGGCGGGUUGCUGGGCUGACACUGACGCUGAGGCGCGAAAGCUAGGGGGGCAAACAGG
rnacentral:rRNA from 1 species